AUGGCGAUCCGGAAGGCAUUAGCCUCCCUUACCAUGCUAACUUGUUGGACCAUUUGGUACGAGAGAAAUGCUAGGGUAUUCCGCCACAAGUCUUCCCUCCCGUCCAUCCUACUAGCAAACAUUCAAUGCGAGGCCAUCCUUUGGGUCACCGCUGGCACAAAACACGGCUAUAUCAUGUCGGGAGAGUAA
rnacentral:rRNA from 1 species